rnacentral:rRNA from 1 species
GCCUAACACAUGCAAGUCGAGCGGCAGCGAGAGUAGUAGCAAUACUACUUGUCGGCGAGCGGCGGACGGGUGAGGAAUACGUAGGAACCUACCCUCGAGCGGGGGAUAACUAAGGGAAACUUUAGCUAAUACCGCAUAAACUCGAGAGAGCAAAGCUACCCGCAAGGGUGGCACUUGAGGAGGGGCCUGCGUCCGAUUAGCUAGUUGGUGAGGUAAGAGCUCACCAAGGCGGUGAUCGGUAACUGGUCUGAGAGGACAACCAGUCACACUGGGACUGAAACACGGCCCAGAGUCCUACGGGAGGCAGCAGUGGGUAAUAUUGGACAAUGGGGGCAACCCUGAUCCAGCGAUGCCGCGUGAGUGAAGAAGGCCUUCGGGUCGUAAAGCUCUUUAGGUUGGGAAGAAGGAUAUCUGGUUAAGAGCUGGGUAUUUUGACGGUACCGACAGAAUAAGCACCGGCAAACUCUGUGCCAGCAGCCGCCGUAAUAC